CAGUCGUUGUGGUUGUGGUCAGGACAAGAGCCAUUGCUCAUCCUUCUCCUGCCCUUUAGUGCUUCUCUGAGGCCUGCCUGGCUCUUGGCGUUUGCAUGUGGAGGUGCUGUGACUUAUAGCACUCAAGAUUUUUUAACCUAUCCCCCCUCAGUAUCAGUGGCUACUCUGUUUCAUAUUUUAGACCCCUUUUCAGUCAUUGUAGCUUCAGCUCAGUUGCUACAGUUGCUUCAAACUCAUCUUAAGAGUUCACCACUCCUGUGCAGGCUUUCUACAAACACCCUCAGCUCAGCAGCUCCUUGGCGCUUUCCUUCAUCUCUGACCGAGGUUGGAGUGGCUGAGGUGAGUGAAGGGCUUGAACCUCCCUAUUAAGUUCCUACUCACAAUCCAGCUUUAAAUAGAUA
rnacentral:lncRNA from 1 species